AAAUAACAACACUUAAAAAAUUGAAAAUUAAAAAAUUAAUAAAAAGUACCUGCUCACGGAGCCCUGCACCUGCCUCGGAGGUCUCGAUCGAGGCUGCCACCCUGCUCCUCCCAGCGCAGAGCCGCUCGCUGCUACCACCCGCCGCUCCCUAUAUAGGCGGCGGCCUAUGGGCGCGGCGGCGGCUGUUGGCCGCGGCCAGUUGGAGGCCGGGGCCGCAACCACCCGUGCCGCCGCCCUGGUAACCCAAGCGGCCUCGAGUCGCCGUGGAGACCCUGCCAGGGCCGGGCCGGCCGAGUAGGGGCCGACGCGGGCCGAGCCGGGCGCGGGGCGGGGAACUGCAGGCCCGCCUCCGCCCCGCGCCCGGUCCGCUCGGGCCGGUGGUGGUCUGAGCCGCCUCAGCCCCGCGCCGGGUGGCGGCCAGCGGCGGUUUCUCGGUUUUUGAACCCCGAACCCUGAAGGACCCGUUAGGGCAAAAACAUAGUGGUUAAAGGCAGAAAUAUGAAUAACGGGAUGAGUUUGUAUGCGGUGUCCCAGAGAGAAGUUGUUUGUAGUAAGAGGGGAAGCUAGAGGGAUUGGCAAAAGCAAGAGGGAUGUGUGGGAAGUGGGAGCAGGCAGAAGGAACGAAGACCAAACAAGAUACAGCUAGCAGGCAAUGCUGAGAAUAACAAGAGAUCCGCGAUUACAAGGCAGAGAAAAAGGCCAGGGGAGGGCUAGCGUGCUUCGAACAGCGCUGAGCCCACAGAAGCAUUCCCUGUCUUCUGGCUUUGGUUUCCACUGAGGAGGUCAGCAGUGAAGGAGCUCCGUGUCCUUGCAGUGGCAGGGCUGUAAGCAGGUAUCAGGGUGGAGCUGUCACAGCUACAGGCGUGGGCAAGUACAGGUCAGAUAUGUUUGAAGUUUUAGCUCAUUCUCUGUCAGCACUGAAUGCGUCAACUGCUUUUUCAAGGGAUCUUCCUUUGGCAGUGCUGGAGAUGGCUCUUUUGUUUCAGGAAAACGUCUGGCUAUGAUACUGAAGAAAAUAAAAUAUCAUACAGGCAAGCUGACACUGGAGCGCAGCCUGUCUGCAAAUCCAACCUGUCCUCAUGCUGCAUGAUAAGACACCUUCCAGAAAUUAUACUUGGACACCUUGGCCCAUGUCUGAUUGCAAGCACAGAGAGAGGUGGAAGCUACCAAACUGGCAUCAAACACCAGCCGAAUGAUGCAUACGCAGGGAAGAAAAAUCUAAAGCCUUGAGCAGGUGCACAUUUUCCCCUUUGGGGCUCUAAUGAUCCUUAGCAGAAGAUUGUUGCAUCUGACUUAGAGUGAUUCUGGGCAGGCAAAGGCAGCACAUACAGCUUAUCCUUUGAUAACAUGCUCUGCAGGUCCACUGAACAGAUGAUGGUAGCAGAGCUUGUGGGCAGGUCCCACUCAGUGCUGGUGACAGCACCAACUGCAUGGCCUUGCCUUUAUCUGGAAGGCAUUUUCACACUGAGGGUGGUGACACGCUGGAACAGGUUGCCCANUAAGGCUGUUAAAAGAAUUUGAAAAUAAGCAAUAUUUAUCAUAUAUGAGUAGCUAUAAGGCUGACAUUCUUCCCAGAAGACCUGUGGUUUCUGUAGUUGCAUAGCCUACCUCAGGCAUGGACCAACACUUUAUUUUUCAGAAAAAUACAAAACUCCUUUUAUGUGCAGAUUGUGUGAGUACAGAAAGUGCUGCAUCCUCAUUAUAUUCCACAUUUCUGGCCUUGGUAGAUGUCAGUAGCAUAUACAUCAGAGACGAUUUUCUUGUAGUCUAGGUGUGGAGAAUAACAUUUGUUUUGCUUUAAAAUUUAUCUUCUCUUGAAGGUAAAUUAGAAAUUGAUGUUCUCUUGCAAGAGAAGGACACAGCUCGUUUCAAACUGGGAUCUAACACUGAGGAUCUGCAUCAAUGUCAGGAGGCAUUUUUCUCCCUCCAUGGGCUCCUUGCUGUCUCAGCAAGUUAUGCAAGAUGAACACAGUCUUUUAUGGUUAUUUUAUAACUAGAAGCAUAUUAUUGCCUAAUAUUUUCCAACGUCUAAAACUAAACUCUCAGUCUAUGGUAUCUGAUGGCAAUAAG
rnacentral:lncRNA from 1 species